GCCUCCUGCCCAGGGAAAUCUUGGUCUGCUUAACAGCUCUCGGUGGGAAUGUACAACUUUAAAGCGUUUGAAAAGAAGAAUCCACUUCUGAGAGAUUUGCAUUUUCAGAAAGCUUUCAAUAGAAGGCCCAGGAUGGAGCUGGUGAUGCAUCAGUGAACAACAAAAUAAAGAGAUCCCUGUCCCAUAGAGCUUACAGCCCAGUGACAGAGACCGGCAAUAAUCACCGAUGUAAGCUGAGCAUGGGCAAAAGAGAAGGACCUUGCCCUCCAGAUGACCUCGAGCACCACAGGAACCAAAGAUCUCCCAUCUGCAGAGCUAAAAAACUGGAAAUUGAACCAACAGAGUCCUUCAUGAAGUAAGGGGUCUUUCAACAAGGAAGAUCCAGCAUCCAGCCCUUAAAUCAGGGAGACGGAUUUGAGAGUGCCUUGCCUACUGUCUCCUUGCUGGUUGACCUUACAAUAAACCCUUUUCUUUUCUCAAAAACUGA